UCUCCAAGUUGUGAGAACUCUUUCCAAGCCGAUUGGAGCAGUUCCAUCCGUGAGGUGACCUGCGCCGUUGUAGUUGGUUCCUCCCGUUCAGCCCAAGCCAAUGCGCGUGUGAUAAUUGCCCUUGAGUCUGCCACGGGCUUUUACCAAUGCCUUUAAUUGUUCCAUUGUAAACAAUUUUCAAUUAACACCAAAGCACACAAAACUGUUCAAGAAUCCGGCUCGAAGGACCAAAGAAUGUUCGCAAAUAAUAUGCUCGACGGAUUUGAUUCUAGUGGACUGUAUUUAUUUUGUUCUUGUCCAGUUCGAUGUCUAUUUGGUACUGAAAAAUGCCGUCGCAGCGUCGCGAUGGACUUGUUAUACGUUCCUCAACAGAAAGUAAGAGGGAGGAGAGAGAAUAUAAAUGAGCGAAGGGUCGAUUUUAGAGGAUUUUACAUGGGUGAGAAAGAGGAUUGAGAUCGAAGUUAGUUUACAUUAUCACCGAUAGGUGAUAGGUGUGGCAGGCCGGAUCGCAGCCCCUCAGCAACACUGAUCUUAGAGUCGUUCGCUGGUGUGGCAGCACCGGCGACUCUGCCAAGCGGUCUGGCAUCUUGAUAUCUGACUUCGACGCUAAGCACAAUGAAUGUAGUUUAAAUAAUAAUUAAUAAAGAUCCACAAUAAGAACUCAA